GACGAACGCUGGCGGCGUGCUUAACACAUGCAAGUCGAACGAUGAAGCUGGAGCUUGCUCCGGUGGAUUAGUGGCGAACGGGUGAGUAACACGUGAGAAAUCUGCCCUUGACUCUGGGAUAACUGCGGGAAACUGUAGCUAAUACCGGAUACUUUCCCUGGUGGGCAUCCACUGGGGAAGAAAGAAUUUCGGUCAAGGAUGAUCUCGCGGCCUAUCAGCUAGUUGGUGAGGUAAUGGCUCACCAAGGCGACGACGGGUAGCCGGCCUGAGAGGGUGACCGGCCACACUGGGACUGAGACACGGCCCAGACUCCUACGGGAGGCAGCAGUGGGGAAUAUUGCACAAUGGGCGCAAGCCUGAUGCAGCAACGCCGCGUGAAGGAUGAAGGCCUUCGGGUUGUAAACCUCUUUUAGCAGGGAAGAAGCGAAAGUGACGGUACCUGCAGAAAAAGCACCGGCUAACUACGUGCCAGCCGCCGCCGUAA
rnacentral:rRNA from 1 species